UCAACAUGGCUUUUGGUGAUUAUCCCGCUGAAUACAACCCCAAGGUACAUGGUCCUUAUGACCCAGCUCGCUAUUAUGGCAAAGGUAAGAUUAUGAUGGA
rfam:Musca domestica strain aabys unplaced genomic scaffold Scaffold501, whole genome shotgun sequence.